GACGAACGCUGGCGGCGUGCCUAACACAUGCAAGUCGAGCGGAGAAAUUAAAGCUUGCUUUAAUUUCUUAGCGGCGGACGGGUGAGUAACACGUGGGCAACCUGCCCUUGAGAGGGGGAUAACACAGAGAAAUUUGUGCUAAUACCGCAUAACAUUUAGACUUCGCCUGGAGUUUAAAUCAAAGGAGUAAUCCGCUCAAGGAUGGGCCCGCGGCGCAUUAGCUAGUUGGUGAGGUAAUGGCUCACCAAGGGGACGAUGCGUAGCCGACCUGAGAGGGUGAUCGGCCACAUUGGAACUGAGACACGGUCCAGACUCCUACGGGAGGCAGCAGUGGGGAAUAUUGCGCAAUGGGGGAAACCCUGACGCAGCAACGCCGCGUGAGCGAUGAAGGCCUUCGGGUUGUAAAGCUCUGUCUUUGGGGACGAUAAUGACGGUACCCAAGGAGGAAGCCACGGCUAACUACGUGCCAGCAGCCGCCGUAAGAC
rnacentral:rRNA from 1 species